AUUGAACGCUGGCGGCAGGCCUAACACAUGCAAGUCGAGCGAGCGGCGGACGGGUGAGUAAUGUGUGUGAAACUGUCUGAUGGAGGGGGAUAAAUACUGGAAAAGGUAGCUAAUACCGCAUACCCUCAGAUGUGCCCCGAUGGGAUUAGCUAGUAGUGGGGGUAACGGCUCACCGAGGCGACGAUCCCUAGCUGGUCUGUGAGGAUGACCAGCCAAACGUGAACUGAGACACGGUCCAGACUCCUAAGGGAGGCAUCAGGUGGGAAUAUUGCACAAUGGGCGCAAGCCUGAUGCAGCCAUGCCGGGGGUGUGAAGAAGGCCUUCGGGUUGUAAAGCACUUUCAGCGGGGAGGCGUUACCCGCAGAAGAAGCACCGGCUAACUCCGUGCCAGCAGCCGCGGUAAUAC
rnacentral:rRNA from 1 species